ensembl:lncRNA
UUAACCCCUCACAUGACGGCUCCCACUGCGAACAGUUCGAAUCCUUUGCUGUUGUUGCAAACUCCAAACACAUCCGAGGCUUUCACAUCAACAGUUCUGAUCACUCUGAGGCAAUGGUCCCUAUUGGUGGACCAUCAUAUUCAAUCAAGGACAGGAUCGACCUCCAUAUUGAGUCCGGCUUUGUUUAUUGGACUGACAACAGCACUUCAACUUCCUACAGGGGGAUUUUCAGGGCCAAAACAGAUGGUGCACAGUACAGUCGUGUAGUUACUUCUGGCAUUGGAAGGAGGGGUAUCCAAGGCAUUGCUGUUGACUGGAUUGCAGGCAACUUGUACUUCACCAAUGCCUUUACAAGUGAGACACU